UACGGAGGGUGCGAGCGUUAAUCGGAAUAACUGGGCGUAAAGGGCACGUAGGCGGGCUUUUAAGUGAGGUGUGAAAUCCCCGGGCUUAACCUGGGAAUAGCAUUUCAGACUGUGUGUCUAGAGUACUUUAGGGAGGGGUAGAACUCCACGUGUAGCGGUGAAAUGCGUAGAGAUGUGGAGGAAUACCGAAGGCGAAGGCAGCCCCUUGGGAAUGUACUGACGCUCAUGUACGAAAGCGUGGGGAGCAAACAGG
rnacentral:rRNA from 1 species